rnacentral:rRNA from 1 species
CNNNGGGGGGYGSUGCAGUAGGGAAUCUUCCGCAAUGGACGAAAGUCUGACGGAGCAACGCCGCGUGAGUGAUGAAGGCUUUCGGGUCGUAAAACUCUGUUGUUAGGGAAGAACAAGUACAAGAGUAACUGCUUGUACCUUGACGGUACCUAACCAGAAAGCCACGGCUAACUACGUGCCAGCAGCCGCGGUAAUACGUAGGUGGCAAGCGUUAUCCGGAAUUAUUGGGCGUAAAGCGCGCGCAGGCGGUUUCUUAAGUCUGAUGUGAAAGCCCACGGCUCAACCGUGGAGGGUCAUUGGAAACUGGGGAACUUGAGUGCAGAAGAGAAAAGCGGAAUUCCACGUGUAGCGGUGAAAUGCGUAGAGAUGUGGAGGAACACCAGUGGCGAAGGCGGCUUUUUGGUCUGUAACUGACGCUGAGGCGCGAAAGCGUGGGGAGCAAACAGGAUUAGAUACCCCCCAGKUAGUCA